UAUCGCUGGCUGAAGACACGUGAGCCCGCUUAGAGAUGAAUAGGUGGAUGACUAUGAAGAACCUCAUGCUAGAGGACACGAGAACACAACGCUCUGAUAGGAUGUGACAUUAGGAUAUAUGUUCUAGAUUAAUUGUAUGAAGACCUUGUUGAGUCGAGAAUACUUUAUUAUUUAUUUGGACAAGUUUGAAUAUGAUGUAGAAGAAAAUGAAUGUGAGCCUUUUUCCCCUUUGAAA